rnacentral:lncRNA from 1 species
UGGUGGUUGGUUAGCAGGGAGGAAAAUAGAGGAAGAUCUGAUGUACCUGCCGGUGGAUCUUAAUUAUUUCGAAGAUCAUUAUGGCUCUUGAAAAUAAAGGUGGGUUAUGUACUCUCUUUUCGUUUUAAGCGUGUUUUGAAUUCAAAAUUUCGAGCUUUGAUCUUGACAGUCAUGGUUCAGUUCUGCUUGUGAGUUUUGAUCCGGAGGAGUUGUUUCGUCGGUGGAAUUUGGGGCUUUUGGUGCUUGUUAGGUUUUUAUGCUGUCGAUAGGGGGACUUCAGUUUUAAUUCAUAUCAAAUGUCGGUCCCUUUUUACUCAAGAGUCCUUUUCAAAUUUGUUAUCCUCAAAAUUUUUUUUAGGGCAUUAUUUUCUUGUUGAAUUUAGUUGAGGCAUAGUUUAUCAGUUUCUUGCUAGUACAAAGUGCUGGGAGGAUUUCUUGGUAUUGAAUUUUGUUUGGUUAAGGAGCUUACGGUGCCGAGGUCCUUAAAUUUUGAUACAGAACUGAGAAUUCUAGUUCCGUAAGGCAUUGAAAUUGGAAUCUGAAACUUCGUUGGUGACUCCGAAGCAGGGAAAGAUCGGACUAAUAGAAUUCGAGAAUUUGAUGAAUGACUCGUGCUUUUGAGUUGACAUGCAUAAUAAUGCGGUUUGUAGUUGCAUUUUAGUUGAUUUUAGGUUUGUAAUGGGAGUCGUAUCAGUGGCAAAAUUAAGGUACCAAAAUCAAAAGUCACCUUUGUGGUACUGAAGUUGUUAUUGCUUUCCACUCAAGUUGUUAUUGGUUUGUAUGUAG